CCUACGGGAGGCUGCAGUGGGGAAUAUUGCGCAAUGGGCGAAAGCCUGACGCAGCGACGCCGCGUGAGGGAUGAAGGUCUUCGGAUCGUAAACCUCUGUCAGCAGGGAAGAACGGUCACUGUGCUAAUCAGCAGUGAAUUGACGGUACCUGCACAGGAAGCACCGGCUAACUCCGUGCCAGCAGCCGCGGUAAUACGGAGGGUGCGAGCGUUAAUCGGAAUUACUGGGCGUAAAGCGCGCGUAGGCGGUAUGUCAAGUCAAGGGUGAAAUCCCCGCGCUCAACGUGGGAACUGCCUGUGAAACUGGCAAACUGGAGUGUGUGAGAGGAUAGUGGAAUGCCAGGUGUAGGAGUGAAAUGCGUAGAUAUCUGGAGGAACAUCAGUGGCGAAGGCGACUAUCUGGCACAUAACUGACGCUGAGGAGCGAAAGCGUGGGUAGCAAACAGGAUUAGAUACCCGAGUAGUC
rnacentral:rRNA from 1 species